UACAGAGGUCUCGAGCGUUAGGCGGAAUCACUGGGCUUAAAGCGUGUGUAGGUGGAUGCCUAAGUACCUUGUGAAAUCCCACAGCUUAACUGUGGAACUGCUUGGUAUACUGGGUGUCUUGAAUCACUCAGGGGCGAGCGGAACAAAUGGUGGAGCGGUGAAAUGCGUAGAUAUCAUUUGGAACGCCAAUGGUGAAAACAGCUCGCUGGGGGUGCACUGACACUGAGACACGAAAGCCAGGGGAGCGAACGGG
rnacentral:rRNA from 1 species